CGACCGGGGAAGUGAUGAAGAAACUGAAAGCCUGAAAUCUCGAGCUAAACGACACCGAAUUUACGCGUGCCUCUUUUCACCUGCCACUUCAUACGGCGCCGGUGGUUCGUGUUUCGUGCAUCUUUGGCUUUUUUUGCGGGUAGGGCAAUAAUAGAUGUUAAAAGAGUGGGAAAUAAAAAGCAAUGUAAAAGAGAGCCAUUUUAUGAUGAGGAUGAUUUGAG
rnacentral:misc_RNA from 1 species